GACGAACGCUGGCGGCGUGCUUAACACAUGCAAGUCGAGCGGUAAGGCCCUUUCGGGGGUACACGAGCGGCGAACGGGUGAGUAACACGUGGGUGACCUGCCCUCAGCUCUGGGAUAAGCCUGGGAAACCGGGUCUAAUACUGGAUAUGACUCCAUGACGCAUGUUGUGGGGUGGAAAGCCUUGUGCGGCUGAGGAUGGGCCCGCGGCCUAUCAGCUUGUUGGUGGGGUGANGGCCUACCAAGGCGACGACGGGUAGCCGGCCUGAGAGGGCGACCGGCCACACUGGGACUGAGACACGGCCCAGACUCCUACGGGAGGCAGCAGUGGGGAAUCUUGCGCAAUGGGCGAAAGCCUGACGCAGCGACGCCGCGUGAGGGAUGACGCCU
rnacentral:rRNA from 1 species